GUGUCCUUCCAGUGUCCUGUGUAAGCUGCUGGAUGCCUGCUGUGUGAAUUUUGGAGGAGGCAUGACAGUUUCUGCUCUGGGAAACAGAGGGUUCCUGGGGGUUAGAAGAGCUGCUUCAAUAUCAUUACUCUUCAAUCAGACAAUAGCAAACACCCUUCGGAUCUUACCAGAUAAAGAAGCUGAGACUCAGAGAGAAUAAAUGGACUACCUGAUGUCACCCAAGAAGGAGCAGUGUCAGGAUUUUAACUCGGUUCUCUUUCAUGCCAAAGUGUGUGCUUUGAACUCCAGGUUGCUGUGGUGUCAAAGGAGGGAACAUUUGGGCUUUCUUAUUAGCUUGCCCUGAUGGGGUAGUGGGAGAAGAAGUGAUGAUACUUGAAAGCCAUCAACAGUCAAACAUCAAAAAUGGCAUCAAACUCUACUGCAAAUUACAGCCCAGGCAUGUCUCUUCAUCAGUGCCCAACCCAGGCACCCUCUAGGUUGGUUUUUCUGAGGUGGCUGAAAUUCACUAAUAAGGUGAUACUGAACCCCUACAGAAAAUUGAUUUCAUAUUUCCAGAAGAGUUUUAGGUUUACAGCAUAAUUGAAUAAAAAGUACUGUACAGAGAGUUGCCAUAUACCCCAACAUGCUCAGCUCUCUGUCAACAUCCCCCACCAUUGAUUGACACAUCAUUAUCACUCAGGGUCCCUAGUUUACAUUAGGGCUCACUCUUGGUGCUGUACAUUCCAGGGAUUUGCAGAAAUGCAUCAUGGUGUAUCCUGCAUGUUACUUUUUACUGUUUCGACAUUUGUUCAGGCUGAGUUCUUUUGCAGACUGGUGAAAACUUCAUAGAUUCAGAAUCCAGUUUCAAGACACUUAUUGCUAUCAGUUCCCUUAGGAAUGAUGAGCUUCUGGGGAUUGACUUCAGGCUAACAAGGAACAUGGAUUGAUGUAUAAACAAGUGCCAACAUUAAUAUUCAGUGGGGAUUUACUUUUCUUGUCACGAGAAAACCUUAUCUCAUGUAGCUCUUCCCAUGAUCAAGCUUCCCUGGAAUCCAGGUUGCUAACCAAGAAAUUGUGAGGCAAACAUGAAUAUAUAAAAUCAUGAUAAAAUAAACUGAGUAGGCUUGAGGAAUAUUUCUUUUGAGUUACAGCAAAAAUUAAAGAAUUAUACUUUUACCAUGGAGUACAUAUCUCUAGUGACUUUUAUCAUGUAGAUUCCAGGUCUCUGGAUAAACUCUAACACAUGGUUAUUUUUCAACUCUGUUUUCUAAACUGCUUGCAGAUUGCACAUCAUUUUGUUAUCAUUUAUGAGCAAAAUGUGGUCUUCCAGGUUAUUCAAAGUCAAAGUUCAGGCUGUAGUUGCUUAAUUCUUUGAAGAGAGCUGGGGACACACCAGUCUUCUGCACUACUCAGUUCAAAGGGGCUGUUGUGGGUCACUUUCGCAGAAGGCUAAUCACAUUCUCUGUUAAUUAACUUCAGUUUCAGAGGAUGACUUUUAUGAUUUUGUUUCUAACUUUUGAGAGUGUCUUUGGAGUUUAUUCUACACUGAUUAUUUAGGAUCUGAAAUGAAGGUGUCAAAUACAUUAAGUAUAAAAAAUACCACUUGACAGAAUGGAAGUCUUAGAUAAGUACAGCAAAUUAUAAAAACAUAAAUUCUAUGGUUUCCCUCGAAAUCCCUCUUAUACCAACCCCACUCGUGCCCCCAACUUAGGUUGCUUAUGACACUUUGACAAAGUGAAUUCCAUGCUGACUCAGCCUCCAUCGUGUACCUCUGUUACCAGUUUUAUUCUCUUGGGGUCCUAAGACCAGGAUCUGCCAAAUUAAGUGUCACUUUCUAUUGAGCUGCUACCUUCAAAAAGACACUGUGAGAAGAAAUUUCCCAGCUUUCCAAGUGACGACGUUUUGGCUUAUCAGUAUUACAUUAACAAGUGCAAUUUCUGAACAUAAACAAAAGAAUAUAACUAAAACAAAGCAAUUUAUGAUGCUACUUUACUCUUAACAUUCCUUUAGUUACAAAAGAUUGAAACUAAAACAAAACAAUGUAACUAAUAAUUGUGGACUUGGCUCCAAACUUUAGUGGGUUUCUCUCAAGCUAUUCUUUAACAAUGAUAAAUAGCAAUUGAAAAAUAAAAAAAAAGAGAGACAUUAAAACUCAC